CCUACGGGAGGCAGCAGUAGGGAAUAUUGCUCAAUGGGCGAAACCCUGAAGCAGCAACGCCGCGUGGAUGAUGAAGGUUUUCGGAUCGUAAACUCCUUUUGUGAGAGAAGAUAAUGACGGUAUCUCACGAAUAAGCACUGGCUAACUCCGUGCCAGCAGCCGCGGUAAUACGGAGGGUGCAAGCGUUACUCGGAACGACGGGGCGUAAAGUGUGCGCAGGCGGGCUUGUAAGUCAGAUGCGAAAUCCUGUAGCUUAACUACAGAACUGCAUUUGAAACUGGGAGUCUAGAGUGUGGGAGAGGUAGGUGGAAUUCUAGGUGUAGGGGUGAAAUCCGUAGAUAUCAAGAGGAAUACUCAUGGCGAAGGCGACCUACUGGAACAUUACUGACGCUCAUGCACGAAAGCGUGGGGAGCAAACAGGAUUAGAUACCCGUGUAGUC
rnacentral:rRNA from 1 species